GAGUAUCUUAUAUUUAUUACAACUACAUACCUCUGCUUAGAUAAUGGUAUAAUUGUUAUUUUAUAUGCUUUAUGAUGUAAUGAAAUUAUCAGGGAGUUCUAUUAUUACACACUGUAUUCAUGAGGUAAUAGUGUUGCUAACCAGAAAAAUUGAUGCUUUCACCUCUUCACACUUGUUCAGAUCCACGUCUAACUGACUAUAAGACACUGUUGGAAAAUGUUCAAGGUCUAAAGGAAGGGAGGUCAGUUCAGGUUCCAAUCUAUGAUUUCAAGUUGAGCUAUCGGAUUGGGUAUAGGUAAAUAAUCACUGUCAUCUUCCAGUAUUACAAAGGUAUUUAUGCAUUGAGUAGAAGUUACGGUCUGUGCUGGACUUGCGUGUUUCUAUCACUGGUGGUGUUCAAUUAGACCUGGUGAAGAGGGUUUUACGGGACAUACAGCGAGCUGGCUACGAGCCUGACGAAAUAAUUCAUUAGAUCUCAGAAACGGUUUAUCCAAUGUACAAGGCUUUCAUUGCGCCAUAUUUGGAGACUGCACAUAUAAAAAUUAGGAACAAUUUCAACUCAUUCACAUAGUAAGAUGACUUCGCGGCGACAGCGCCAGGUCGUGCG